rnacentral:rRNA from 1 species
CCUGGCUCAGGAUGAACGCUGGCGGCGUGCUUAACACAUGCAAGUCGAACGAUGAUCCCAGCUUGCUGGGGGAUUAGUGGCGAACGGGUGAGUAACACGUGAGUAACCUGCCCUUGACUCUGGGAUAAGCCUGGGAAACUGGGUCUAAUACCGGAUAUGACUCCUCAUCGCAUGGUGGGGGGUGGAAAGCUUUUGUGGUUUUGGAUGGACUCGCGGCCUAUCAGCUUGUUGGUGGGGUAAUGGCCUACCAAGGCGACGACGGGUAGCCGGCCUGAGAGGGUGACCGGCCACACUGGGACUGAGACACGGCCCAGACUCCUACGGGAGGCAGCAGUGGGGAAUAUUGCACAAUGGGCGCAAGCCUGAUGCAGCGACGCCGCGUGAGGGAUGACGGCCUUCGGGUUGUAAACCUCUUUCAGUAGGGAAGAAGCGUAAGUGACGGUACCUGCAGAAGAAGCGCCGGCUAACUACGUGCCAGCAGCCGCGGUAAUACGUAGGGCGCAAGCGUUAUCCGGAAUUAUUGGGCGUAAAGAGCUCGUAGGCGGUUUGUCGCGUCUGCUGUGAAAGACCGGGGCUCAACUCCGGUUCUGCAGUGGGUACGGGCAGACUAGAGUGCAGUAGGGGAGACUGGAAUUCCUGGUGUAGCGGUGAAAUGCGCAGAUAUCAGGAGGAACACCGAUGGCGAAGGCAGGUCUCUGGGCUGUAACUGACGCUGAGGAGCGAAAGCAUGGGGAGCGAACAGGAUUAGAUACCCUGGUAGUCCAUGCCGUAAACGUUGGGCACUAGGUGUGGGGGACAUUCCACGUUUUCCGCGCCGUAGCUAACGCAUUAAGUGCCCCGCCUGGGGAGUACGGCCGCAAGGCUAAAACUCAAAGGAAUUGACGGGGGCCCGCACAAGCGGCGGAGCAUGCGGAUUAAUUCGAUGCAACGCGAAGAACCUUACCAAGGCUUGACAUGAACCGGAAAGACCUGGAAACAGGUGCCCCGCU